rnacentral:lncRNA from 1 species
CCUCGCUUAUCCUGCACAUUUAGAAAUACAUGCAGGACUGAGUACAAAGUACUCAGUGUACAUAUGCCGAAAAACAAAUGAAAGCUUGCUCUUAGAGCUAUAAAUUGAACUUGCCACAUUAAGCAACGCACAAGGGUUUUAGUUAGAGAAGAACAUGUGCAUGCAAUUUCGCAAAUCAUAACAUCAUAAUAAAGUAACUGCGCAGUUUAAACAUUCAUUAAGUAUGUACCACAUCCACUACUCAUCAUUAAAGGUACUGAGAAGUAGGCCUCCCUCUCAAGUACCGUGACCGGCCGACCCGAUAGACGGCUCACAGUCACCUCUGUGCACAAAAUCCCGCUUGUGGCAGGACCGAAUUCGUCUCAACAGUAGAGGGUAACACACAAGUCAUUAUUAACAAAACUCGGCAAGUCAAUUAGUUUCAAGCAUAACAUUAACUCAAUUCAUAAUCAUAAAUAUCAUAUCAUUUAAGAAAGCUCGUAUAAUAGGUAUAUCAAAAUAAUGCCCACCUGACAAACUUAGCUUACUCUCGUAGUAAAUUAGUAAAUUAAACCAUAGAAUCAAUUUUACCCAAAUUACAUCAAACUAACUCAUAUAAAAAAUUACUAAUCAAUUUCAACCAUCAAUCCAAUCCAUCAAAUCUCAUAUAAACACUCUCAAUAGCAUAUAUCAUCCAUCAAUUCAUCAAUCAAGCCUCAAAUACAAAACUUCCCAAAUUUACACAAACUAAACUAUUUCAAAUCUCAUAUCUCUUUUUAAUUCAAUUAUCUACACAUGGAAAUAGACUAAUUAGGAACUCAAUAGUAUUUAAAUAACAUCAAUUUAAGAAAAGGAAAGAAAAAUUUUUGAAGGGUAAAAGACCCAAAUUUUCGAAAAUCACAAAGAAGGGAUAUGGGUGUUUUCUUGCUUGAUCUAUCCAUAUAUACACAUAUACAACACAUUUAAGUCUAGAUCUAAAAGGAUUCAUCACUUACUCAAGGAUUUUGAAAGAAAUAAAAAUUCUUCUCUCUAACUUCAAGCUUGAAACUCCAUCAAUCUUGCUCUUGAUUCAAAGGAAAUGAAGUUUUGAUUUGAUUUAGUGAAGAUCUAUGGUGGAGAUAUGAUUUUUGAAGCUUUGAGAAUGGUUAACAAUGGAGGAUUAAGGAAGAAAAGAGAGAGAGAUGAGAGAGGGGUGAGGGGCGUGUGAAU